CUAGUACCUUACACGUUCAUUACAUGUUAGGAGUUUAACCUAUAAUCUUACUUGGAGAAGGGGGGGGGGAAAGACCCACAACGAAGAAUCCUGUGCAGAACAGUAUGAUGCACCUGCAAAAACAUCACCUCGUUCUCAACCAAGAACACCAUAUUUCUUCUUUUCCCUGUCGUGUUAUGUUUUAUCUCAGAAGAAGGAGGAUCAUCACAGGGGAAUGGCAAAGUCAAAACGGCCAAACAAAGCAAGG